ACAUAUAUGGGGACGUGUUGUUAACUUGUUACCCCAUGCUUUUCAUUUUUUCUGUGCAGACAUGACCCAUUUGUCCUUAAAAAGCAUAAAGGAGGGCACUCACAUGUACACACGACUGCUAUCUGGAAGCUUCAUUGCAGAUCUAGAGAUCAGGAGAAGAAGGAAAUCGUGGGGAUGCAGAUUUGCUUUCAACGGUCAAAACAGAGCUACAAAUGAUUAGUUGUAGUCGUGUGUGGUCCUUCCAUCACGAGUCGGUUUUUUCUUUUGCGCUAUAGAGAAG
rnacentral:lncRNA from 1 species